UACGGGGGGGGCAAGCGUUGUUCGGAAUUACUGGGCGUAAAGCGUGCGUAGGCGGUUUGCCGUGUCCUGUGUGAAAGCCCCGGGCUCAACCUGGGAAUUGCAUGGGAGACUGGCAGGCUUGAGUGUGGCAGAGGAGGGUGGAAUUCCGCGUGUAGCAGUGAAAUGCGUAGAGAUGCGGAGGAACACCGAUGGCGAAGGCAGCCCUCUGGGCCAACACUGACGCUCAGGCACGAAAGCGUGGGGAGCAAACAGG
rnacentral:rRNA from 1 species